UACGUAGGGUGCGAGCGUUGUCCGGAAUUAUUGGGCGUAAAGAGCUCGUAGGCGGUGUGUCGCGUCGGUCGUGAAAACCUGCAGCUCAACUGUGGGCUUGCGGUCGAUACGGGCAUCACUGGAGUUCGGCAGGGGAGACUGGAAUUCCUGGUGUAGCGGUGAAAUGCGCAGAUAUCAGGAGGAACACCGGUGGCGAAGGCGGGUCUCUGGGCCGAUACUGACGCUGAGGAGCGAAAGCGUGGGGAGCGAACAGG
rnacentral:rRNA from 1 species